CAAGAAGAUGUGUUGACUGAGAAAACAAAUGUCCUGCAGUAUUGUUGAGGAAGACAUCUGCCUAACUAUAUAUUGGAGAAGACCAGGUGUAUGCGCACUACGGCAUUGCAGAAUGAUGGACCAGAGGAAGAACAUCUCUAAUACAGAGGAGAAGAACAGGUGUUUGGCAUUGCACACCACAGAAUUGCAGGAUGACGGACCAGAGGAUAUACAGUCUGUGCAUGCCAGAUCCAGAGGCCAGAUGGUGGAAGACGGUGUCCUGCAACAUUUUAGAUAAUUUUAACGUUGUUUAAAAAUGUUAUUAGCUUAUACAUUUAAAAAAUGUUAUGUUAUGUGCCACGCCCAAGAAAGAUGGGUACUCCCUUGCUGAGUCUGGUCUUUCCAAGGUUUCUCUCCAAACUUUUUGGAGUUUUUUUCCUUGCCACAGUCGCCAAUGGC
rnacentral:lncRNA from 1 species